UUAUAACUCCUCUUUGCUCAGCAUAAACUAUCAUAUUAUAACCUAUCCUGGAACCAAAUAUCAAAAAAUGCUGAUAAUAAUGUUCCACUUAUUUCCCAAGCAACUUUGGAACGUAGAGAUUAUUAGCUUUACAUACACAUAAUAAAACUUGCUAAAUGAAAUUAUCAGCUUAAAAUUAACUGCUAGAUUCCAAUCUCAUAAAACUUAAUUCCACUUAACAAUAUAGUCAUAUUCUCAUAGAAGUUUAAACAAUGAAUCCAGCUCAAUAUGAUAAGCCUUUUUCAUGAACAAAUAGAAGGCUUUUCAAUUAUACUACAAGAUGUUCAUGAAAUUUCAAGUACCGAGACUAUCAGUUUUACUAUUUUCACCUGUCUUUGACACUGCAACAUGG
rnacentral:misc_RNA from 1 species